rnacentral:rRNA from 1 species
CUUUUAAAUAAGUAAGAGUUUGGGGUGGAUGCCUUGGGUCUGGAAGUCGAUGAAGGACGUGAUUACCUGCGAUAA